rnacentral:rRNA from 1 species
GAUGAACGCUGGCGGCGUGCUUAACACAUGCAAGUCGAACGAAGCACUUUAUUUGAUUUCCUUCGGGACUGAUUAUUUUGUGACUGAGUGGCGGACGGGUGAGUAACGCGUGGGUAACCUGCCUUGUACAGGAGGAUAACAGUUGGAAACGGCUGCUAAUACCGCAUAAGCGCACGGCAUCGCAUGAUGCAGUGUGAAAAACUCCGGUGGUAUAAGAUGGACCCGCGUUGGAUUAGCUAGUUGGUGAGGUAACGGCCCACCAAGGCGACGAUCCAUAGCCGACCUGAGAGGGUGACCGGCCACAUUGGGACUGAGACACGGCCCAAACUCCUACGGGAGGCAGCAGUGGGGAAUAUUGCACAAUGGGCGAAAGCCUGAUGCAGCGACGCCGCGUGAGCGAAGAAGUAUUUCGGUAUGUAAAGCUCUAUCAGCAGGGAAGAUAAUGACGGUACCUGACGAAGAAGCACCGGCUAAAUACGUG